AUUGAACGCUGGCGGCAUGCCUUACACAUGCAAGUCGAACGGCAGCACGGGAGCAAUCCUGGUGGCGAGUGGCGAACGGGUGAGUAAUAUAUCGGAACGUGCCCGGUCGUGGGGAUAACGUAGCGAAAGCUACGCUAAUACCGCAUACGAUCUACGGAUGAAAGCGGGGGAUCGCAAGACCUCGCGCGAUUGGAGCGGCCGAUAUCAGAUUAGGUAGUUGGUGAGGUAAAGGCUCACCAAGCCGACGAUCUGUAGCUGGUCUGAGAGGACGACCAGCCACACUGGGACUGAGACACGGCCCAGACUCCUACGGGAGGCAGCAGUGGGGAAUUUUUGGGACAAUGGGCGCAAGCCUGAUCCAGCAAUGCCGCGUGCAGGAUGAAGGCCU
rnacentral:rRNA from 1 species